GCUAAUAUGGCUCAGCUGGUAGAGCAGCUGAUUCGUAAUCAGCAGGUCGCCGGUUCGAAUCCGGCUAUUAGCUCCA
rnacentral:tRNA from 1 species